GACAGAGGUGCCAAGCGUUAGGCGGAAUCACUGGGCUUAAAGCGUGUGUAGGCGGAUGUCUAAGUACCUUGUGAAAUCCCACGGCUCAACCGUGGAACUGCUUGGUAUACUGGAUGUCUUGAGCCAUCUAGGGGCUACCGGAACAAAUGGUGGAGCGGUGAAAUGCGUAGAUAUCAUUUGGAACGCCAAUGGUGAAAACAGGUAGCUGGGGAUGUGCUGACGCUGAGAUACGAAAGCCAGGGGAGCAAACGGG
rnacentral:rRNA from 1 species